rnacentral:rRNA from 1 species
UACGGAGGGGGCUAGCGCUGUUCGGAAUUACUGGGCGUAAAGCGCACGUAGGCGGCUUUGCAAGUUAGAGGUGAAAGCCCGGGGCUCAACUCCGGAAUUGCCUUUAAAACUGCAUCGCUAGAAUUGUGGAGAGGUAAGUGGAAUUCCGAGUGUAGAGGUGAAACUCGUAGAUAUUCGGAAGAACACCAGUGGCGAAGGCGACUUACUGGACACAUAUUGACGCUGAGGUGCGAAAGCGUGGGGAGCAAACAGG